ACGGUGUAGCAAUACACAGUGGCGAACGGGUUGGUAAUGAAUCGCUAAUGUACCCCGGACUCUGAGAUAGCUACCCGAAAGGGCAGGUAAUAUCAGAUGAUAUAACCGAACCGCAUGGUUUGGUUCUCAAAGGUCCGCCGGUCUGGGAGCAGGCGAUUUCGUAUCAGCUUGUUGGUGAGGUAACGGCUCACCAAGGCGACGACGCGUAGCCGGACUGAGAGGUUGGCCGGCCACAUUGGGACUGAGACACUGCCCAGACUCCUACGGGGGGCUGCGGUAACGAAUCUUCCGCAAUGCACGAAAGUGUGACGGAGCGACGCCGCGUGUAGGACGAAGCCCUUCGGGGUGUAAACUACUGUCAGGGGAAAGAAAGUUCUGAUCUACCCCAGAGGAAGGGACGGCUAACUCUGUGCCAGCAGCCGCGGUAAGACAGAGGUCCCGAGCGUUAGGCGGAAUCACUGGGCUUAAAGCGUGUGUAGGCGGAUGCCUAAGUACCUUGUGAAAUCCCACGGCUCACCCGUGGAACUGCUUGGUAUACUGGGUGUCUUGAGCCACUUAGGGGCUACCGGAACAAAUGGUGGAGCGGUGAAAUGCGUAGAUAUCAUUUGGAACGCCAAUGGUGAAAACAGGUAGCUGGGAGUGUGCUGACGCUGAGACACGAAAGCCAGGGGAGCAAACGGGAUUAGAUAC
rnacentral:rRNA from 1 species